GCAUGCCCAAUCCUAUUUUACACCUGGAUGAACACGGAACAGUUGGGUGAUGUGUGAAGGCAGCCGGUUCCUUUUCCGGAUAAAUACAGCUGGGCAGAGACAAAGGCUGACAGAGAUAAAGAGACCCAGAGUUUAAGAGCCAAGGUGAUAUGAAGAAACAGAGACAAACAGAGAAAGAGAAUAAUACAGAAACACCAAUAGAGACUAAGGUUUAUGAAGUGUGAUCAGCCAUGGAGAAAAGAGUGUUCCUGAUCAUUCUGUUAUUAGCUGGCUUAUCAAACAAUGUAACAAUUGCUCAGACAACA